rnacentral:rRNA from 1 species
UACGUAGGGUGCAAGCGUUAAUCGGAAUUACUGGGCGUAAAGCGUGCGCAGGCGGUGAUGUAAGACAGGUGUGAAAUCCCCGGGCUUAACCUGGGAACUGCAUUUGUGACUGCACGGCUAGAGUGUGUCAGAGGGGGGUAGAAUUCCACGUGUAGCAGUGAAAUGCGUAGAUAUGUGGAGGAAUACCGAUGGCGAAGGCAGCCCCCUGGGAUAACACUGACGCUCAUGCACGAAAGCGUGGGGAGCAAACAGG